rnacentral:lncRNA from 1 species
CAAUAGCUGUUAUGUGCACAGCGCUCACGGAUUGAAUUGCGACAUAAUAACUUUUGGUAUAAGGACUGGCAUGCGCUAUUGCCCGACUAAACCGCACCAUGUAGCUAUACGAAUCUGACCGCUAAAGGUAACAAUGGCUCUGAUGUAAGGUGUUCGAGUCGAAAUUAUGCCGAUAUGACAUAAACUGAAGACGUUGAAAAACGAAAGUACGAACAUUACUUAGCCCUAAAUUCGAUCCGUGAGAACUGUAUAGGUGUUCGUGUAUUGGAAAGAAAAAAAAAAAAAAACAGAGCGCGGUAUCAUGUUUUCGUUUAGCAGCUGCGAAAACACACACGACUCUCGAUCGUCAUUGUUUUGCGAUCUCGACCGUGAGGACGUGUCACGGCUGCCACGCAGAACACCUGCAGUAUUAUUGGGCUUUUUCCUACAUUGCAUGAAAAGAAAGGGCCAAAACA